rnacentral:lncRNA from 1 species
AUAGCAAUAAUAACUCAGCCUUGCCUUGGGGCAGGGUCACUUUCAUAUAAGCCAGUCACUCAGAACCUUGGGGCAAAAGUAGAACAGAGAAUUAAAGCCAGGCAUGGUGAUGCACUUUUAUAUAACCCCAGUGACUCCAGAGGCUGAAGCAGGAGGAUCUCAAGUUCAUGGCCAGCCUGGAUAAUUUAGGGACACCCUGUCUCAAAAAAAAAGUGCUGGGGAUGUGGUUUAGGGGUUAAGUGCCCCUGGGUUCAAUCCCCAUUACCAAAAGAAAAAGAAAAAAAGAAAGAAUUGGGGGAAGUCUUGAGUGGCAUGUCAUGCUCCUCUUUGGAAGACAGAUGCAUGUCUUAUGGAGGUCCUACCGACAGGACAAGGCCAUGGGAGGCAAUAAUGAUGGUGCUUCAGCUCAGGAUGGGAAGUAUUUGUCAAUAGAGUAAGUUGACAGCGGCCGCUAGGCAGACGGCAUAGGCAGCAAGUGCUCCACCAUCUCAAAAAUUCAAGCGGAAAGGAGACCCCCAUCCAACUGGAAUCUCAGAAUCAAUUCUUGCCGUGGGGGCCGGUUGGACUGUUACCCUUUAUCUCUCUUCCAGUUCCAGGUUUCUGCAAUCCAGGUGCUUCAUUAGGGCAGGCCAACCCAUAAUCUCCAUUUCAGAGAUGGGCACUUUCAUGAAAAUCAGCACGCUAUUGCUUUGGGUAUAUUCUGAAUGUUCUCUCUGGCAAGGAAGAGAGUGUAGGUGGAGGAAGGAAGGGUGUGUCUGUGCCUCUCAAUAGAAACUGAUGACAAUUUUACUAAUUGCUGUAUUUAUUAAUGGGUGGCCUUUUAUGUAGGUUGUUUAGAAGGUAAAACAAUGCGAUUAGUCAUAAGGGUUUGCUGCUUCCUGGCUCUCCAAGUCAACGGCCCCAAGCACAGGGCUCCGUCUGCAGCAGGGGAAGAGCAAUUAAGAAACCUGUUCAUUGUGCUCAUUUGCCUUUGUUCCAGGCCUUUGGGAGAUAAAAGUGGUUCUGAGUUUACCAUCUAUCAGAAAUUUCUGUGUUUUGUUUUUCAUGCUAUGUGGUUAUGCUCACUUACAUUCCCUCCUCACCCUCCCCACCCUGCGCCCUUAUCUAUGAUCUGGUAAUAAACACAAAUAUUAGCCUUGAGAAUAAAAAUGUAAGUGGA